rnacentral:lncRNA from 1 species
CAAGAUGCUAAGAGGGCCACAUGACUAAAGAAUGUCUUUCAAGAGAGGAAAAUGAAAUGACCAACAGACAAGGAAUCUUCACAAGCUCCUCUUGUAACUUAUCAAAAGAACUGCUGAGUCUUUUCAAGAUGAAAUGAAGUUAACUGAGUCCAGCUUGAAGGAAAUGAAUCUGUAAACAGCCCAC